GAUGAACGCUGGCGGCGUGCUUAACACAUGCAAGUCGAACGGAAAGGCUCCUGCUUGCAGGGGUACUCGAGUGGCGAACGGGUGAGUAACACGUGGGUGAUCUGCCCUGCACUUCGGGAUAAGCCUGGGAAACUGGGUCUAAUACCGGAUAGAACCACAUUUUGGAUGGUGUGGUGGAAAGUUUUUCGGUGUGGGAUGAGCUCGCGGCCUAUCAGCUUGUUGGUGGGGUAAUGGCCUACCAAGGCGUCGACGGGUAGCCGGCCUGAGAGGGUGUACGGCCACAUUGGGACUGAGAUACGGCCCAGACUCCUACGGGAGGCAGCAGUGGGGAAUAUUGCACAAUGGGCGCAAGCCUGAUGCAGCGACGCCGCGUGGGGGAUGACGGCCUUCGGGUUGUAAACUCCUUUCGCUAGGGACGAAGCGCAAGUGACGGUACCUGGAGAAGAAGCACCGGCUAACUACGUG
rnacentral:rRNA from 1 species